UUCGACCUACGGGAGGCAGCAGUCGGGAAUAUUGCGCAAUGGAGGAAACUCUGACGCAGUGACGCCGCGUAUGGGAAGAAGGUUUUCGGAUUGUAAACCAUUGUCGUUAGGGAGGAAGAAGUGGCAGUACCUAAGGAGGAAGCUCCGGCUAACUAUGUGCCAGCAGCCGCGGUAAUACAUAGGGAGCGAGCGUUAUCCGGAUUUAUUGGGAGUAAAGGGUACGUAGACGGGAAUACAAGUUGGUUGUGAAAGCCCUCGGCUUAACUGAGGAACUGCAACCAAAACUAUAUUUCUUGAGUAUCGGG
rnacentral:rRNA from 1 species